rnacentral:rRNA from 1 species
CCCUUAGAUGUUCUGGGCCGCACGCGUGCUACACUGACGCCUACAGCGAGCACUUUCCAGCCCCGAGAGGCGGCUGGUAAUCAGCAAUAGGCGUCGUGAUGGGGAUAGAUCUUUGGAAUUAUGGAUCUUGAACGAGGAAUGCCUAGUAAGCGCAGGUCAUUAGCCUGCGCUGAUUAAGUCCCUGCCCUUUGUACACACCGCCCGUCGCUCCUACCGAUUUCGAGUGGUCCGGUGAAUCUUUCGGACUGCGCGCGGCCUUGAGUCGUGUCGCGGAAAGUCAGGUAAACCUUAUCACUUAGAGGAAGGAGAAGUCGUAACA